rnacentral:rRNA from 1 species
AUGGUCGCCUUGGAAUGCACCGCGGCGUGUGCGAGGCAUCCUAAACCGAAUGUCCUGGUGAAAGCGUCAUUGAUUAUGGCCUCUCGCCUAUCCGAUGUCACUACACUUCUUGCUGGACAAGACCCUCUCUCCCCUGCAACCCUCAAGAGCCUUACCGAGUUUCUCAAGCAAGAGCCCGCGAGCUUGGAUGAUCUCACCAACCUAUCACUGUAUCAUCUUUGUGUCAAGGAGAAAAAGAAGAAGAAUAAGAAGAGGAAGAGAAGCCAGCAGACAUCAGAAUCCAUAGAGGGGAAUAGGCCACGGAAGAGGAGGCUUGGGCCUCAGUUGACAUUCAGAUCCACUCUCUCUCUAAAGCUGCUUCUCCUCGGCAAGAUCCAUGGUCACUACUUACAAGCACUUGCCAAUCUGCCUUGGGAUGGCCUGCGCAGGCGUCACCACUGCAGCCUCCUCAAGGGUGGGUAUUGCUAUGGCCCCAGGGAUCCUGUCUCCAACAUCAUCCUCAACACCAUCUGGCAUGGCUCUACGUUCCCUACGCCCCAAAAGUUCGAGCUGCAAUUCAAGGUGGACAUGAUAUGCACACGCAUGCUUGCACGCAUGGAGUGCUGCUCUUUUUACGGCCUCGUUACCUUCCUUCGAACAUGUGCUCCCACCAUCACGGAGCACGACGCUAUCUGGUAUCUUUUCAGGAGCGACGCCGAUGUCCACAAGGCCAUCCGCAAGUUAAAGAAGCAUGGUCAUGCUGUGUGUGACAAUUACCAGGACGCCUAUAGGCAAGCGGCGGUUGUCUCAUGGUAUGUCGACUCUGACGCUCUGGUGAAGUUUGCCACGUCUUCCUUGAACAUGGAGUCCGACAAGCUGCCAGCUAUUUUACAGGGCACACUCACCAAUGAUGUAGUUGAAUGCCUUGCCAUGGCUCUGCCACCUACCAAGUCAGAGGAGCAGACUCAGCAACUGAACUGGGUGACCUCAAGCUCACAUGUCUUGAGCAAAAAACAGAAGAUGUUUAUUUCAGAGUUUUGGAAAAAAAAUUAG